GCAAGUCGGACGGGGUAUUAAUUUGCUUGCAGGUUAGUGCUUAGUGGCGGACGGGUGAGUAACGCGUAGGAAUCUGCCGUACAGAGGGGGACAACAGUUGGAAACGGCUGCUAAUACCGCAUAUUAUUUUCGAAUAAAAGGUGGCAUUUCGGUGCUGUCGCUGUACGAUGAGCCUGCGUUGGAUUAGCUAGUUGGUGGGGUAAGAGCUUACCAAGGCUGUGAUCCAUAGCUGGACUGAGAGGUUGAAC
rnacentral:rRNA from 1 species